UACGUAGGGUGCGAGCGUUGUCCGGAAUUAUUGGGCGUAAAGAGCUUGUAGGCGGUUUGUCGCGUCUGCCGUGAAAGCCCAGGGCUUAACCCUGGGUCUGCGGUGGGUACGGGCAGACUAGAGUGUGGUAGGGGAGACUGGAAUUCCUGGUGUAGCGGUGAAAUGCGCAGAUAUCAGGAGGAACACCAAUGGCGAAGGCAGCUCGCUGGGACGGUACUGACACUGAGACGCGAAAGCGUGGGGAGCAAACAGG
rnacentral:rRNA from 1 species